AAUAGAUACCCAGGUAGUCCACGCCGUAAACGAUGAGUGCUAAGUGUUAGGGGGUUUCCGCCCCUUAGUGCUGCAGCUAACGCAUUAAGCACUCCGCCUGGGGAGUACGGUCGCAAGACUGAAACUCAAAGGAAUUGACGGGGGCCCGCACCAGCGGUGGAGCAUGUGGUUUAAUUCGAAGCAACGCGAAGAACCUUACCAGGUCUUGACAUCCCAUUGACCACUAUGGAGACAUAGUUUUCCCUUCGGGGACAACGGUGACAGGUGGUGCAUGGUUGUCGUCAGCUCGUGUCGUGAGAUGUUGGGUUAAGUCCCGCAACGAGCGCAACCCUUGUUCUUAGUUGCCAUCAUUUAGUUGGGCACUCUAAGGAGACUGCCGGUGACAAACCGGAGGAAGGUGGGGAUGACGUCAAAUCAUCAUGCCCCUUAUGACCUGGGCUACACACGUGCUACAAUGGACGGUACAAACGGUUGCCAACCCGCGAGGGGGAGCUAAUCCGAUAAAACCGUUCUCAGUUCGGAUUGUAGGCUGCAACUCGCCUACA
rnacentral:rRNA from 1 species